UAAAUAAUAAGUAAUAUAUAAUAUAAGAAAUAGAAAACAACAUUAAACAUCCAUUUGAAAAAUGUAUAAUAAAAUAAAUAGUAAGUAAACAUAUUGUAUAAGAAAUAUAAAUAUUACAUUAAAUAUCCAUCUUAAUAUUAGAAUUUGAUAUAAAAGCAAAACAAUUAGAAUAAUAAAUAUAUAAUCUAAGAAAAAAAUAUGUAAUAAGUAAAUAUACAAUAUAAGAAAUAGAAAAACUAAAUUAAGCAUCUAUCUUAAAAUAUAUAGUAAAAUAAAUAAUAACUAAAUAUACAACAUAAAAAAUAAAAAAUAUUACAUUAAAC
rnacentral:lncRNA from 1 species